UGUAAAUCUCAAACCUUAAUUUAUUGUCGGAGCUUUUGUUAGUCCUGAUAUAAUGAUUUGUUUACAAGUCGGCGCAGCUGAAAAAGACAGUUACAUUAAAACAGAAGCCUUGAGCAGAAGCCUUGGCCAGUCUCUGUACUCACACGGCGUGAAGACUGAAAAUAAAAAGCUCAGUGCUGUCUUACCAAACAUGAGAACCAAACAGCUUACUCUAGGGGACUUGACAAGUUUGCACAGGACAAAGUACUGAAUAAUGAAGUAUCCCUUGAUCGUUCUACAGCAGGACCUGUUUGUCUGACGGAAAAUGUUGUCCAGACUGAAUUUUGCCUCCCAGAUGAAUGAGCUUGUACCGGUCAUGACCUUUGCUGACAAGGUGAGCAGACGUUUGAUGACGUGUCUGUUGACAUCCAAUGUGCACAGUUUGCGAACAAUCUACAGGCUUCUCUGACCUUUCUUGUAUACAGAGCCGAUGUGUUCUGAGACAGACUCUCUGGAGUUUCAGUGGAAACAGAAAGUAGUUGAUGACCUAGACUUUCGUUGGUAUGCAUGUUCUCUGCACACUAUACUAGUGUGGCGAACUGAAAGAACGCACAGAUGAGCCAGAGAGAUACCGGUAACACUAUGGCAAUGGCAGACAUCAGACAGAAAGGAUACAGUGAGACCACAAGCUGUGGUACAGUGGGAAGGAAAGUACUUCAAGUACACAGACUAACGGCCGUCGUCAGCUGUCGACCAUUUACAGUUGGUGUGAUUAAUUAGAUGAUUAUGGUGUGAUUAAUUAGAGUCUUCAGAAGCUUCACAAUGUCACCAGUGUUCGUGCCUGUGCUCCAGCUUCACCCACCACCAAAGUGGAAGUAGUCUAAGAAUAUGCCUGAUGACCAGAUGAAAAGGUUUUUCAAGGUAGCUCUGAGGAAGAACAUACUAACAGUGUUCUGGCUGAAAUGCUAACAUCAACCCAGAGGCUUCAAACCAAUGACAGACAAUUUUGAUGAAUUUGGCUUUGAUGAAGCCAGCAGCAGGGAGCAAAGCUGCUACAAUUUUAAUAGAAUCACUGACACAUCUUAGCCAAUACCUAAGUGUUCUAUAUUGCAACCUUCACAACACUGACCACAGAAGUCAACGUCCUCCAAAGCAACCAGACUGGAACCAGCAAUCCUGAAGACACACCAAUCCUACAGAGAAAGAUUAGGAGAGCUGAAGAGAGAGAGAGAAGUCACGUGACGUUAAUAAUACCAUAGCUUAGCUGCUCAUUCAAGACAAAAAAAGAGGAAAAAUAACGAAAAAAGGAGGAAAAAAGAAUGCCCGGGACUAGUCAAAUCUCUGGUCAAAUUACUUCCAAAAGAAAAGGAACAGCACCAAAGCUAUACAAAAAUCAGCUGCUCACAAAAUCCUAGUGAUAAACAACUGUGUACUGCUGUUGUAGACAAACAAGAGAUUGCUACGUGGU